rnacentral:lncRNA from 13 species
GAAGUAUCAAGCACUCUGGGCCCAGACCAACUUUUCCAAGGGAGCGCCAGUGUCCAUCUGGUCCAGCUUAGCCCCCACGGCAUCUUUGGCUUCAUCAUCUGCAGGGCAGAAGUGCUAGACUCCUUUCUCCUCUGACCACCUGAGGCCAGCCCCCAACUGCAAAGGUGAUAUCAGACCUCAGGUCCAGAGCAGCCCAGUCCCCAGUUUCAUGGCAUCAAGCCUUGUGUUCCAAACCCUGUGGUCUGCUUGGGAGCAGGGGACGUGAUCCUCUUCCAGCUUCAUAUCCUUGCCCACAACCGCUCAGCCAGCCACUACCCCGUGUACCAGAAGCAGCAUCUGUUCAACAGCAACCCCCACUGGGACUCCGGGGCCUUCUGCAGACUCAGCCACUUGGUGCAAGAGACGCGCCUCAACUUCUCAAGGUUUGCUCACCAGUUCCUAGAUCCAGGCACAUGUGUGUUUCAAGACAACGGGCAGCCAGAGAGCCUGGCCGUGGUGCUGGUGAAGGAGGAGGGGGUGGCCUGUGGUCCCCGCCUGUCCCCUGUGCAGCCCUCAUCCCCGUAUCAGCUGGGCAGACACGGCAUCCUCAGGCACAGGCUUCCAAACCUGGGCCCAAACUGGGCGGUGAUCACAGGGGUGCUGCUGGCUGUUGGCUUAGCGACUGUGCUGUUGACAGGCCUGGGCCUCCUGCUGAGGCCCUCCCUGCCCCAUACCUGCCCCAUACCUGCCCCAUACAGGCUUGGAGGCCUGGGUGGAGAAGCCUGGGACAGCCUCAGGUGCCUGCUGAGUAUGUGCUCCUCAGGAACAGGAGAGCCGCUCCGGUCCCAGACCCUGGAGGACUUCAGCAUCUGCACACUCUACAACAAGCUUGAGGACCAGAACUUGCAUGUUGCUUCCCAGCUAAGCAAGCAUAGGAGUGAUGCCCUGGCCUUCUACAGGGCCACUGCCCAGCAGCUCCAGUGGCUCCAGGACUCUCAGCAGGACCUCAGCAGGACUGAGCUGCAAGCUCUGGGCAGGGAUGGAAACCCUGAGACAGAUCCCAAAGCCACAGCCAGGGCAGACACUGGGCAGAGCGAGGAACCAUGGGACAGCCACACUGCAGCUUCUCUGAGGGAGUGCCAGCAGCCUCCUCCACACACCAGCAGGACCCAUGACUCCCAGACAUCCCCCAGGGUGAUGCUAAAGGAGGAGAUGCUGAGAGCCCAGGACCUGGGGAGUGGAUAUUUGAGGCUGAACAUGGGCAUGAAGCCACUCCUGAGCUGCAGAGCCUCUGCAUGACAGAUUGCAUCCUCAAUACCCUGUUGUGGCAGAAAGAUGGAAGCUAAAUAUAUACUGUAAACUCCACGGAAGUUCACCAAUGUGCUCCCAGAAU